GAAGGGCAUGGUGGUUCAUGCCUGUAUACCCAGCUACUUGGGAGUCUGAGGCAGGAGGAUCGCUUGAGCCCAGGAGUUCAAGACUACAGUGCACUAUGUUUGUGCCUGUGAAUAGCCACUGUGCUCUAGCCUGGGCAACAUAAUGAGACCCCAUCUCAA
ensembl:misc_RNA Metazoa_SRP Metazoan signal recognition particle RNA